CUGGAAAAGUCUCCUUUUUAUUUUCUGAUUGUUUUUAUCCGAAAAGUAAAAACUUAUGAAUUCUUUUUUCCUCAAAAACAGCUCUCGAUACGCGUUUGGUUCGAAGUUGGAAUCAUAAUCGGAAUCGAAAUAAGCUGAAAUCAGAAUCGGAAUCGGAAUGACUCAUUACCUAAUUCUGUUUGGUUCAUUACCUAAAUCGGAAUCGGAAUAAAUCAUUUCCAUUGUCGAUGUUUGGUUCAGGUAAAUAUAAAAAAUGUAAUCAAAUUAAUAUAUAUAUUAACUUUUUCUUUGUAAUAUAUUAAUUUAAAUUCAAACUGAAAAUUAAAUAUUAAAUAUUUACAUCAAAAUUUCAAAAUAAUGUCAAAAUUUUAAAUCUAUUUUUUUUAUAAAAAAAUAAACUUUGAAGUUGAGUGGAUAAUUUAAAAUAUAAAACUAAAUUUCGAUUUAUUCAGAUUAAAACUUAAAAUUAAAUUUUAAUUUUAAUUUGAAUCCAUAAAUUUAAUUUAAGUUUUAAAUAAAAUUUGAAUAAAAACUUUAUAUAAAUUAAAAUUUAAUUUAAAUUCAAAUUUAUAAGUUAGAUUCAAAACACUUGAUUAAAUUUUAAUUUUUAAUUCAAAUUCAAAUUAAAAUUUAAAAUUAUAAAUUUAAUUUCUAAAUUUAUGGAUUNUAUAUAUAUUAACUUUUUCUUUGUAAUAUAUUAAUUUAAAUUCAAACUGAAAAUUAAAUAUUAAAUAUUUACAUCAAAAUUUCAAAAUAAUGUCAAAAGAUUAAAUUUUAAUUUUUAAUUCAAAUUCAAAUUAAAAUUUAAAAUUAUAAAUUUAAUUUCUAAAUUUAAACUCAUAUUUUAAUUAAAAAAAUUGAAAAAAUAAACUUCUUCCAAAUAAAUAUCCAUUCUAUCCAGAUUCAACUUCCAAUCCUGUCUUCUAUGUCGGAUUGAAAAAAUAGGUGAUGGAAAAAUUUCCAUUCCACUCGGGAAUCGAAAUCGGAAUAGAAUUCCCGCAUACCAAACACCUACAAAUGAAUUCACACAUUCUGAUUCCGAUUAACACUACAAGAAUUAGUAAAUUUAACGACCAAAUUUUAACGACAAAAAUUAAUUUUGGUCGUUAAAAAUAUAAAGAGUCAC
rnacentral:lncRNA from 1 species